rnacentral:rRNA from 1 species
GUGGGGAAUCUUCCGCAAUGGACGAAAGUCUGACGGAGCAACGCCGCGUGAGUGAAGAAGGUUUUCGGAUCGUAAAGCUCUUUCGUUAGGGACGAACGUGCUCUUUGUGAAUAAUGAGGAGUGAUGACGGUACCUAAAUAAGAAGCCACGGCUAACUACGUGCCAGCAGCCGCGGUAAUACGUAGGUGGCAAGCGUUGUCCGGAAUUAUUGGGCGUAAAGCGCGCGCAGGCGGGAUAUCAAGUCUGUCUUAAAAGUGCGAGGCUCAACCUCGUGAGGGGACAGAAACUGGUAUUCUUGAGUGUCGGAGAGGAAAGUGGAAUUCCAAGUGUAGCGGUGAAAUGCGUAGAGAUUUGGAAGAACACCAGUGGCGAAGGCGACUUUCUGGACGAUGUCUGACGCUGAGGCGCGAAAGCUAGGGGAGCGAACGGGAUUAGAAACCCUAGUAGUCC